rnacentral:rRNA from 1 species
GACGAACGCUGGCGGCGUGCCUAAUACAUGCAAGUAGAACGCAGUUGCGAACGGGUGAGUAACGCGUAGGUAACUGCCUCAUAGCGGGGGAUAACUAUUGGAAACGGUAGCUAAUACCGCAUACUUUGAGAUGGACCUGCGUUGUAUUAGCUAGUUGGUGAGGUAAAGGCUCACCAAGGCGACGAUACAUAGCCGACCUGGGAGGGUGAUCGGCCACACUGGGACUUAGACAAGGGCCAGACUCCUACGGGAGGCAGGAGUAGGGAAUCUUCGGCAAUGGACGGAAGUCUGACUGAGCAACGCCGCGGGAGUGAAGAAGGUUCUCGGAUCGUAAAGCUAUGUUGUUAGAGAAGCGGUAACUAAACAGAAAGGGACGGCUAACUACGUGCCAGCAGCCGCGGUAAUUC